rnacentral:rRNA from 1 species
GUCUACGGCCAUGCCAUCCUGAACAAGCCCGAUCUUGUCUGAUCUCGGAAGCUAAACAGGGUUGGGCCUGGUUAGUACUUGGAUGGGAGACCACCUAGGAAGACCAGGUACUGUAGGUA